rnacentral:rRNA from 1 species
AGAUUGAACGCUGGCGGCAUGCCUUACACAUGCAAGUCGAACGGCAGCACGGACUUCGGUCUGGUGGCGAGUGGCGAACGGGUGAGUAAUAUAUCGGAACAUACCCAGUAGUGGGGGAUAACUAUCCGAAAGGAUAGCUAAUACCGCAUACGAUCUGUGGAUGAAAGCAGGGGAUCUUCGGACCUUGUGCUAUUGGAAUGGCCGAUAUCUGAUUAGCUAGUUGUAGGGUAAAGCCUACCAAGGCGACGAUCAGUAGCUGGUCUGAGAGGACGACCAGCCAUACUGGAACUGAGACACGGUCCAGACUCCUACGGGAGGCAGCAGUGGGAAUUUUGGACAAUGGGGGCAACCCUGAUCCAGCAAUGCGCGUGACGUGAAGAAGGCCGUCGGUUGUAAAGCCCUUUUGUCAGGAAGAACGGAGUUCUACGUAAUACGUAGAAUUUCGUAAUGACGUACCUAGAAGAAUAAGCAACCGACUAACUACGU